CAGUCGCCGCGGUAAUACGAAGGGGGCUAGCGUUGUUCGGAUUUACUGGGCGUAAAGGGUGCGUAGGCGGACUGAUAAGUCAGGGGUGAAAUCCCAAGGCUCAACCUUGGAACUGCCUUUGAUACUGUUAGUCUUGAGUUCGAGAGAGGUGAGUGGAACUGCGGGUGUAGAGGUGAAAUUCGUAGAUAUUCGCAAGAACACCAGUGGCGAAGGCGGCUCACUGGCUCGAAACUGACGCUGAGGCACGAAAGCGUGGGGAGCCAACAGGAUUAGAUACCCCUGUAGUCCCUGUCUCUUAUAC
rnacentral:rRNA from 1 species